AUGCUCGAUGUGUUGUUUGACAGCUGCUACUCGUAAUAGGCGCAAUGGCGUCUAUUGCUUUGCUGAAUGCUUUCACGCGUGUACUGUUCGUUCUUAACACUUUCCUUGUGCUGUGUAGUUUUGUGUUAUGAUAAAAUAGAAGUGCUGAUAGAAUGCUACUGCUGCCUAUUUGCUAAUUAAACGGUGUUACACGUAGUUUUUAUGCACAAAAUGGACGAGUAUUCUGGUUUACAUGCCACCUUGUAUGUAGCUUUUGUUUGUUCUCUAAAGUUUAAGCUGCGUUGGUGAUGCACAUAGUACGAUAUUUUGCGCGUGCAUUUAUUAUGUUCCGAGUAUUGUCCAACUGGCGAAUCUAUUGCGAAGCUGUCUGUAAGUAUUAUUGGCUUAUGUAACAUAUUCCUAAAUGUGUUCUAUUGCUUAUACUAUCGCUAUGAGCUCGCUAUUGUGAUUAUAUAGGCAAAAUUCGUAGUUUCAAAAUAGUAGUACCAUCUUUUGUUUCAGUCUUUUAUAAAUAUUCCUAUUUCUGUUUAAGUCUUUUAUAAAUAUUGAUAUUUUUCACUUGUCACACAUCCAUCCGCGUAUAUGUAUGGUCUGUUAUUAAUUUUGUUUUCUAGUGUUUCUCACGUGAUUUGUUUUACUGCAGUCUUGUUUGUAAUUUUGUUGUUUCGCAUUUUUUUUAAUUUUUGUUGAAAUUAUUUUUAUAAUUUUUUUAUGUUCAUUUAUGGUUGCUAUGGAAAUUUGUUUUAGUAUAUCUUUUGUUCUCUAAUGAUUUCCUCACUGAGCUAAAGGUAUACGCAUUACUUCGUUUCCUGCUAUAUAUUUCCAUCCAAUCUUUAACGGGAUCUUGGCAGUAAUUGCGGGGAGUGAGUUAGUUGUUGUGAUUUUCGUGCAUUCCGAGCAUUGCCUUAGAGCAUUAUGUGUGACUGUAUUUAGCUUAUUGCUUUUUGUGUAGUUGUUAUUCACCGCCAUAAAUUACGCCAAAAUAGAAAGAAGAACGGUUCUGGGGACUACUUCAGCGGCUUGGUUGUUAGUAAACUACUCACCCAAUUACAAGGCGCGAUAGAUUUCUUCUUGGCUUCAAGCUCGCUCGGCAUCCAAGUGUCUUCUACUGGUCUCUUAGUCGACGUAACGGGGGCGUUCCUUGGGCGUCGCAUCUACUGCUGUUACCUUUAUCGCCGGACGCUUCAGGAUUCCAUUCUCUUUUUUGACGGUGACGACGCGUACCUGCCCGUCUGAGCCGGAUGUGCCUCUAGCACCUUUUCUUUUAUACAUUGGCUGCGGGAGCGUUAUCGUUCCUGAUUACCACGAAAUUGCCUAUAUUCACGCGCACUACCUUGCUAGUUCAGUUGUUCCGCUUGAUAAGGGUUGGCAACUAAUCCUUCUUCCAACGAUUCCAAAAGAACUUGGCGUUGUGCAGCGCUGAUUUGUAUUGUUGCCUGCACAGGAGACAUAGGAGAGACAUCCAAGCUUACCGGCGGCAGAGCAUCAACAUCUCUCACAAAAAGGAAGUGGAGCGGUAUUAGGAUCUCGUCUUCCUCGUUGAUUAGCGGUAUGUGGGUAAGCGGGCGCGAGUUAAUCAUUGUCUUGAUUUGUAACGUCGCCGGUAAGGGGUGUCGUGUUUCCCAUUCGGUGGCCAUGUGGCGUAGCGCCUUCUUUAUUGUCUGUAUCAUGCAUUCCCAUGAUCCCGCGAAAUGGGAAGCUGGGGAGGGUUGAAUUUUCGUUCUAUUUGAUAGUUAAGUGCGACUUCUUUUUCCAUCCUCUCAUCGAUGUCUUCAAUCAGUUUCUCUAGCAGCUUCUCCGAUGGCUGGGCUGCCUUAGGAGUAGACCUGUUGCAGCAAUCUUUCACGCUCUUUAGCACAUUUCUGAUGUACACGAUUUACCCAAUAGAUUUACCUCCAAACGGCGAUGACCACUUUGUCGGCUUGAUGGAGGUAUUUCUCGUGAUAAUUCCGCAAAGAAGCUUAACGAUGUGUGGUUUCUGAGGUAGGAGUAUCGGCACUCUUUGAAAGCCUCACCGCGUUCUCUAACCGGCUGCGUCAUCUCAAGACUGAUCGUGCAAAUAGGGCAACAACGGUUUAAUGCUGCUUUUUGACCAAAUUUCUCCUUCCUUUCCAUUCCGUCAGGUAAACCUUCCCAUUGCGCCCUGCAUAGAAAAGCGUAUUUGGCCUGCUCUGUGUCUUCGCGUGAAAUGGUUCUCGUGAAUGUUUUACGGUCUUUAAUGGAGUUCGCGAAGUUCUUCAGAGUCUACUGAUUCCUGAUGAUAAUUCACUGCAGUCGAUGUGACACGCUUUUCCUCAUCUGUGUCUGAAAUGGGCUGCUGCGAAGGGCAGCCAUUUUCUCGAUCCAGCAGUAAAUUUGACCUAUUUUACCAAAUGCUGGCGUUAAUGGUAAUCUUUCUUUUGAGCAUCGGCUUGAUUCUCUGCAGAAGAGAUCCAUUGGACCCCUCCAUUGGCUGACAUAACGAGCAACGGAUCAGAGGCGCCAAAACUAGUACGACGCUCCCUACGUCAAGUAGUGUUGUAGCACGGAAAGAUAUUGCCGGGGCGUAAAUGUCAAUUGCGGAUAGCAGCUAGUCGAUACGAUUGUUAAGUAGACGCGACGGAAAGUCUUUGCGCGUUACAAUUCCGCUAUUUCAGCGAAUUGCACCUGGGCGCUCGCAACCUGGGGAACGAUACUUAAUACUUCCCGCUUGGUAGGCAAUUUUUUAUUAGACCCUACGCUGAUCCUCAUAUCCUCAUGAGGCUGGAUUUGUUCGAGACAAAUUUCCUUGUUUUCGCCAGCCUUUCGGUUUUUCACUAUCUGUGCGCAUGAUGUCGAGCAUGUUCAAACGACAUGCCCUGCAUAACGUACGUGUCCGGCUUUCUGCUAGUGUCUACAUUUCCCCAUAAUCCACUAAUAUAGAUGUUUCCUUCGCGAAAUCUUAACAACAAUCCGAAUAACGAUGGCAUCUCAUCGGGUGCGGUAAGAAGCAGCGAGUUUAAGGAGACGUCCCUAACCCGCGCAGCUGCCUCUAACACCAACCGAGAUUUUGGGACCGGCUUAUUCUUAUUUACUACCACGAAAUGUGGCAAAUAGAAGGUUCCGGGACUACGUUUAGCUGCUUCUUGGCGAGAAAGUUUCCUUAUGCAGCCAUUUUCUUCAUACUGCUCAAAUGUCUCACAAAGCCAAACAUAUUCGGAUUCCCCUGUAGCUGCGUUUCUUGACUCUUUAGACGAAAUAAGGCAGCUUCUAGUGGUAUUAGUAGAUGGUUAUGGUUUAGACCAGUGAUGUCGAACUAAUUUUGGCUUGCGCGCCGGUUUGCAAAUAAAAAUGGUGUUUCUGGCCCAACUUUAAAAAUAUCACUUGUGCGUUGUAAAACCUACCUGACUACUUACUAGAAUUCAAUUACAAUGACAAUGGAACCCGGUCCUGCCGAGUGGACCGUCGCCGUUUAUCACACACACCACCGGGCCGCCCCCGCCUUCCGUGCUUGUAACAUGCUUUACAUGUUUGAAUAGAUGUAUGAGUUUACUAUAAAAUUCAAGCUUAGAGUUAGUUUACGCAUACUUAGUUAACUACUUAACACCUAUUUUAUUAAAAAUUUCAUAGGACACACAUAAUCCGCCCAGUGAUAAAUGGCGCAACAACGAGGUCGGAUGACAGUAGCUGUGGUCAGUUGUAAAAUGAAGAUAAUCAAGUUUCGAAAAUUUAUCUGUAAAUUUGUCGAAAAAUUUUUGCGUCAUCGGGGUGAUACAGAAGAUGAUUAUUUUUAGGAAGCCGGAUUUUUAGGAACCGUCGAUAAGUCAUUGAUGAAUAAUAUGAACAGCAGUGCCCCUGAAUUGCUGCCCUGAGGAAAGCGGAGGCUUCUUGAUAGAUGUGGUCUCAGCUUAACUGAAUAUGACCGAUUGCUCAGCUAUGAACUCAACCAUGUCAAGAUAGGGAUUAAUCAUGACACCUUCCAACAGGCCGGAACGAUGCCAUAGCGUAGCGAUUAUUUAAAAAUCUUUGCUAAUACAAUGUCACACUUUGUGAGAAUCGUCGCUGGAACGCCAACUGGUCCCGCGGUGUAGAAGGCCGAUAGUA